GCAUGAUCUCAGCUCACUUCAACCUCCACCUCCCAUGCUCAGGAUGCUCGCCCUUGGAGACCAGCAACAAUGUGUGAGGAAGCCCAGGCCAUGUGGAGAGGCCCCACGUAGGUGUCCAGUUAAGGUCCCAGCUGACAGCUGGCAUUGACACGUGAGUGAGACUCUGAACUGUCCCAGCUGAUGACGAGUACAGUUUGAGCUAGCUAUCGCUGUUGGAUCUGUUUCAAAACUGCAGAUUUCAUGAAAAAAUAAGUGUUGUCGAUUUAAGCCAUGAAGUUUUGACAUAAUAUGUUAUACAGCCAUGGUAACUGGAAGAGUGUGAAACAAAUACUACUCUCUUGUGUCUCAUUUCUUUAUAAAGUAUAUCUUCCCCCUUACCUGCAUAGGGAUUCUUUCUCCUUUUCUCUCAGUUCUGCUGUUAUUCCUACUAGUGAUGCUAUUACUACUGUUGUUUCUACAUCUAUUACUACUACUGGAAAUAAGGUAAUUUUAUAACUAAUAUUGAGCAUGCAUCUACUGUAUAGAUUUACAUCCUUAACAUAUAUUAAUUCACUUAAUCCUUAUAUCCAAAGCAUGGACCUGUAUCACCCCCAAGAAUCCUAUGUUGAAGUCCUCACCUUCAGUAUUCACAAUGUGACCUAUUUGGAGAUACAGUCUUUAAAGAUGUGAAAUGAAGCCAUUAAAGUAGUCCUUAAU